CCUACGAGAGACAGCAGUGAGGAAUAUUGGUCAAUGGGCGCGAGCCUGAACCAGCCAAGUCGCGUGAAGGAUGACUGCCCUACGGGUUGUAAACUUCUUUUAUAUGUGAAUAAAAUGUUCCACGUGUGGGAUUUUUUAUGUAACAUAUGAAUAAGGCUCGGCUUACUCCGUGCCAGCAGCCGCGGUAAUACGGAGGAUGCUAGCGUUAUCCGGAUUUCUUGGGUUUAAAGGGUUCGUAGGCGGAUUUUUACGUCAGCGGUAAAAUGUCCGGGCUCAACCCGGGCCGGCCGUUGAAACUGGGGAUCUUGAGUGGGAGAGAAGUAUGCGGAAGGCGUGGUGUAGCGGUGAAAUGCAUAGAUAUCACGCAGAACUCCGAUUGCGAAGGCAGCAUACCGGCGCCCGACUGACGCUGAGGCACGAAAGCGUGGGGAUCGAACAGGAUUAGAUACCCCAGUAGUC
rnacentral:rRNA from 1 species